rnacentral:rRNA from 1 species
GAGUUUGAUCCUGGCAGGAUGAACUCUGGCGCGACUAAUAAGCAUCGAGCGAUAAGAGCUUGCUCCUUUUCGUUAUCGGGGACGGGUGAGUAUGCCGUGUAACUACAUAGCCUGGAAUAACCGGACCGGUAAUACGAUAAUAUUAACCGCAUGGUUCUAAAGUAAAAUGGCCGGCAUCACUAUGAUGGUGCGCCGCGUUUAGCUAGUGGUAAGGUAACGGCUUACAAGCAACAUGCGUAGCGACCUGAGAGGGUGAUCGGCCCGCUGGAACUGAUGGCUCGGUCCAGCUCCUCGGGAGGCACAGUAGGGAAUCUCCGCAAUGGGAAAGCCUGGCGCACCACCGCGUGAGUGAUGAAGGUCUUCGGAUCUAAAGUCUGUUAUUAGGGAAGAACACAAUGCGUAAGUACUGUGCGCGUCUUUCGGUACCUAUCAGAGACCGGAAGGGGGUAAAAAAU